rnacentral:rRNA from 1 species
AUGGAAAUUACCAAAAGAGAUCAGAGUGGCGCACAACAAUUUCGUUUUGCUAAUGGGCUUGACUUGAUUCAUCUGCUCUCUCUUUACGAGAGGAAGCUGAAUCGGGAUAAAUCAUUAGAAGUAAAAGGAGCCUCAACGAGCACCAACAACCAAUCUGUGACUGCUCUGACGGGCGGCGGCGGCACUGAUAGUGUACGGCUUCAUAUGUCGAUGACUGCUUGCUUUAGCGUUGCAUGGGACGGAGACCUACGACUUCAUCUCUGCCAUGACAACAACCCAUGGAUGACUGCUCCGCGCGGCGGCGGCGACGACGAACGACUGUACCUGGCCUUACGUGUGAAUGGUCUCGCACAAUGGUGGCCACGAUGA